rnacentral:rRNA from 1 species
AACGAACGCUGGCGGCAGGCUUAACACAUGCAAGUCGAGCGCCCCGCAAGGGGAGCGGCAGACGGGUGAGUAACGCGUGGGAAUCUACCCAUCUCUACGGAAUAACGCAUGGAAACGUGUGCUAAUACCGUAUACGUCCUUCGGGAGAAAGGUUUAUCGGAGAUGGAUGAGCCCGCGUUGGAUUAGCUAGUUGGUGGGGUAAAGGCCUACCAAGGCGACGAUCCAUAGCUGGUCUGAGAGGAUGAUCAGCCACACUGGGACUGAGACACGGCCCAGAGUCCGUAGGGGGGAAGCAGUGGGGUAUAGUGGAGAGAGGGCGCAAGCCUGAUCCAGCGAUGCCGGGUAAGUGAUGAAGGCCCUAGGGUUGUAAAGCUCUUUCACCGGUGAAGAUAAUGACGGUAACCGGAGAAGAAGCCCCGGCUAACUUCGUGCCAGCCGCCGCCGUAACAC